rnacentral:lncRNA from 10 species
CAGGCCUCUCUUCUGCAGGUCUGCUGGAAUUUGCUGGAGGUCCAUUCCAGGUGCUGUUUGCCUGGGUAUCACCAGUGGAGGCUGCAGAACAGCGAAGAUGGCUGCCUGCUCCUUCCUCUGGAAGCUUCAUCACAGAGGCACACCUGCCUGAUUCCAACUGGAGCUCUCCUGUAUGAGGUGUCAGAUGACGCCUGUUGGGAGAGAUGCCCUGCCCAAUCAGGAGGAAUCUAGAGAGGCAGUCUGGCCACAGACUCUUUGCUGCAGUGUGCUGCUUUUAAUUGGUAGACUUUGUUGAGUGUGUCACCAUCAACCACACACAAAAAAUGGAAACAUGUAUGAAUGACUCUUAAAGAAUUAAUAGAUUCAAGCCUGCUGAUUCCUUGUCAACAGGUCUACAUGAAGAAGAAAUGAUGGGACCAAACAAUCAGGAAGCAGGGAAGCACUGCACCAGCUCCUAACACAAGAGUGCAACAUGUUAUCCACUAGAUAUGACACAACCAGAUUGCCCCUACAGCCAAUGCUUCAGGAAGAAACAGCCUUAUACUCACAGAAAAGAAAACUGAGGCUGAAGAGGACAAAAACAUUGCGGAUGGUCAGAAAAAGUAGUCAGUGGAUGACACCAGAACACAAAUUAGCUGGAGGAAAAGAAUAAAAAGGAAAUUACUCUGCCCAGCUAUCAGCAACUGGGGAAGAAUAGGAGGAAUGUUGAUCACUCUCUAACAGGAGGACACAGCUAGAAAAUCUAUGAACCAGAAACCCCUCACCUGCCACCAAAUCUGCUAGCAUCAUGAUCUUGGACUUCCCAACCUCCAGAACU